UACGGGGGGGGCAAGCGUUGUUCGGAAUUACUGGGCGUAAAGGGCGCGUAGGCGGCCUGCUAAGUCGGACGUGAAAUCCCUCGGCUCAACCGGGGAACUGCGUCCGAUACUGGCAGGCUUGAAUCCGGGAGAGGGAUGUGGAAUUCCAGGUGUAGCGGUGGAAAUGCGUAGAUAUCUGGAGGAACACCGGUGGCGAAGGCGGCAUCCUGGACCGGUAUUGACGCUGAUGCGCGAAAGCCAGGGAGGCAAACGGG
rnacentral:rRNA from 1 species